rnacentral:rRNA from 1 species
GACGAACCGUGCGAACGUUGUUCGGAAUCACUGGGCAUAAAGGGCGCGUAGGCGGCUUAUCAAGUCAGGGGUGAAAUCCGGCAGCUCAACUGUCGAAGUGCCUUUGAUACUGAUGAGCUCGAGGGAGGUAGGGGUAUGUGGAACUUCCGGUGGAGCGGUGAAAUGCGUUGAUAUCGGAAGGAACGCCGGUGGCGAAAGCGACGUACUGGACCUCUUCUGACGCUGAGGCGCGAAAGCUAGGGGAG